rnacentral:rRNA from 1 species
GACGAACGCUGGCGGCGUGCUUAACACAUGCAAGUCGAGCGGGAAACUUCGGUUUCCAGCGGCGGACGGGUGAGUAACACGUGGGCAACCUGCCUCACAAUGAGGGAUAGCCUUCCGAAAGGAAGAUUAAUACCUCAUAACACAAGAGAAACGCAUGUUUCUCUUGCCAAAGAAUUUCGUUGUGAGAUGGGCCCGCGGCGCAUUAGCUUGUUGGUGAGGUAACGGCUCACCAAGGCUUCGAUGCGUAGCCGACCUGAGAGGGUGAUCGGCCACAUUGGAACUGAGACACGGUCCAGACUCCUACGGGAGGCAGCAGUGGGGAAUAUUGCACAAUGGAGGAAACUCUGAUGCAGCAACGCCGCGUGAGUGAUGAAGGUCUUCGGAUUGUAAAGCUCUGUCUUCUGGGACGAUAGUGACGGUACCAGAGGAGGAAGCCACGGCUAACUACGUGCCAGCAGCCGCCGUAA